AUUAUUUAUUUAAACUUCAAUUUUAUGAUAGGGAAUAGGAUGAGGGAUCCUUACUCGAUUCGAUGUCCGAAAAGCUAAGCUGUUUGACUGCGCCUACGGGCGAUUCCUAGGUUCUCUAAAUUUUUUUUUAGAAUUAAAACGUGCUAAUAGUACCUAUAAAUAUCCCAAAUAAACCCAAAAUCAGUCCCGAGGCCCACUUGGCCAAUUUCGAAAUUCUGGCACGGCGUUGCA
rnacentral:lncRNA from 1 species